rnacentral:rRNA from 1 species
CCUACGGGAGGCAGCAGUGGGGAAUAUUGCACAAUGGGCGAAAGCCUGAUGCAGCGACGCCGCGUGAGGGAUGACGGCCUUCGGGUUGUAAACCUCUUUCAGUAGGGACGAAGCGCAAGUGACGGUACCUACAGAAGAAGCACCGGCUAGCUACGUGCCAGCAGCCGCGGUAAUACGUAGGGUGCGAGCGUUGUCCGGAAUUAUUGGGCGUAAAGAGCUCGUAGGCGGUUUGUUGCGUCGGCUGUGAAAACCUACAGCUUAACUGUGGGCCUGCAGUCGAUACGGGCAGACUUGAGUUCGGCAGGGGAGACUGGAAUUCCUGGUGUAGCGGUGAAAUGCGCAGAUAUCAGGAGGAACACCGGUGGCGAAGGCGGGUCUCUGGGCCGAUACUGACGCUGAGGAGCGAAAGCGUGGGGAGCGAACAGGAUUAGAUACCCUGGUAGUCCACGCCGUAAACGGUGGGUGCUAGGUGUGGGGGACUUCCACGUCCUCCGUGCCGCAGCUAACGCAUUAAGCACCCCGCCUGGGGAGUACGGCCGCAAGGCUAAAACUCAAAUGAAUUGACGG